CCUACGGGUGGCUGCAGUGGGGAAUAUUGCACAAUGGGGGAAACCCUGAUGCAGCAACGCCGCGUGAGCGAAGAAGGCCUUCGGGUCGUAAAGCUCUGUCCUAAGGGAAGAAGCAUGACGGUACCUUAGGAGGAAGCCCCGGCUAACUACGUGCCAGCAGCCGCGGUAAUACGUAGGGGGCGAGCGUUAUCCGGAAUCACUGGGCGUAAAGGGUGCGUAGGCGGCCAAUUAAGCCAGAGGUGAAAGGCUACGGAUGAACCGUAGUAAGCCUUUGGAAUUGAAUGGCUUGAGUGCAGGAGAGGAGAGUGGAAUUCGUAGUGUUGCGGUGAAAUGCGUAGAUAUUAGGAGGAGCACCAGUGGCGAUGUCGACUCUCUGGACUGUAACUGACGCUGAUGCACGAAAGCGUGGGGAGCAAACAGUAGUAGAUACCCUUGUAGUC
rnacentral:rRNA from 1 species